rnacentral:rRNA from 1 species
CCUACGGGUGGCAGCAGUGGGGAAUAUUGGGCAAUGGGCGCAAGCCUGACCCAGCCACGCCGCGUGAAGGAAGACGGCUUUCGGGUUGUAAACUUCUUUUCUGAGGGACGAAGAAAGUGACGGUACUACAGGAAUAAGCCACGGCUAACUACGUGCCAGCAGCCGCGGUAAUACGUAGGUGGCAAGCGUUAACCGGAUUUAUUGGGUGUAAAGGGCGUGUAGGCGGGAAAGCAAGUCAGAUGUGAAAGCUCAGGGCUCAACCCUGAGACUGCAUUUGAAACUGUUGUGCUUGAGUGCUGGAGAGGCAAGCGGAAUUCCGGGUGUAGCGGUGAAAUGCGUAGAUAUACGGAGGAACACCAGUGGCGAAGGCGGAUUGCUGGACAGUAACUGACGCUGAGGCGCGAAAGCGUGGGGAGCAAACAGGAUUAGAUACCCGAGUAGUC